CAUUAGGUGUCUGAAUUUUAAGAGUUGAUCUUUUAAAUCAAAUAUAGUAUAAAUUAUACUCCUAAUGA
rnacentral:tRNA from 1 species